AACGCUAGCUACAGGCUUAACACAUGCAAGUCGAGGGGCAGCAUGGUCUUAGCUUGCUAAGGCCGAUGGCGACCGGCGCACGGGUGAGUAACACGUAUCCAACCUGCCAUCUACUCUUGGACAGCCUUCUGAAAGGAAGAUUAAUACAAGAUGGCAUCAUGAGUCCGCAUGUUCACAUGAUUAAAGGUAUUCCGGUAGACGGUGGGGAUGCGUUCCAUUAGAUAGUAGGCGGGGUAACGGCCCACCUAGUCUUCGAUGGAUAGGGGUUCUGAGAGGAAGGUCCCCCACAUUGGAACUGAGACACGGUCCAAACUCCUACGGGAGGCAGCAGUGAGGAAUAUUGGUCAAUGGGCGAGAGCCUGAACCAGCCAAGUAGCGUGAAGGAUGACUGCCCUAUGGGUUGUAAACUUCUUUUAUAAAGGAAUAAAGUCGGGUAUGUAUACCCGUUUGCAUGUACUUUAUGAAUAAGGAUCGGCUAACUCCGUGCCAGCAGCCGCGGUAAUACGGAGGAUCCGAGCGUUAUCCGGAUUUAUUGGGUUUAAAGGGAGCGUAGAUGGAUGUUUAAGUCAGUUGUGAAAGUUUGCGGCUCAACCGUAAAAUUGCAGUUGAUACUGGAUAUCUUGAGUGCAGUUGAGGCAGGCGGAAUUCGUGGUGUAGCGGUGAAAUGCUUAGAUAUCACGAAGAACUCCGAUUG
rnacentral:rRNA from 1 species